rnacentral:rRNA from 1 species
UACGGGGGGGGCAAGCGUUGUUCGGAAUUACUGGGCGUAAAGGGCUCGUAGGCGGCCAACUAAGUCAGACGUGAAAUCCCUCGGCUCAACUGAGGAACUGCCUUUGAAACUGUCGGGCUUGAGGCCGGGAGGGGGUAGCGGAAUUCCCAGUGUAGCGGUGAAAUGCGUAGAUAUUGGGAGGAACACCGGUGGCGAAGGCGGCUACCUGGACCGGUUCUGACGCUGAUGCGCGAAAGCGUGGGUAGCAAGCAGG